AUUGGACGCUGGCGGCAGGCCUAACACAUGCAAGUCGAGCGGAUGAAGGGAGCUUGCUCCUGGAUUCAGCGGCGGACGGGUGAGUAAUGCCUAGGAAUCUGCCUGGUAGUGGGGUAUAACGUCCGGAAACGGGCGCUAAUACCGCAUACGUCCUGAGGGAGAAAGUGGGGGAUCUUCGGACCUCACGCUAUCAGAUGAGCCUAGGUCGGAUUAGCUAGUUGGUGGGGUAAAGGCCUACCAAGGCGACGAUCCGUAACUGGUCUGAGAGGAUGAUCAGUCACACUGGAACUGAGACACGGUCCAGACUCCUACGGGAGGCAGCAGUGUGGAAUAUUGGACAAUGGGCGAAAGCCUGGUCCAGCCAUGCCGCGUGUGUGAAGAAGGUCUUCGGAUUGUAAAGCACUUUAAGUUGGGAGGAAGGGCAGUAAGUUAAUACCUUGCUGUUUUGACGUUACCAACAGAAUAAGCACCGGCUAACUUCGUG
rnacentral:rRNA from 1 species